rnacentral:misc_RNA from 1 species
GAUGAAGAACGUAGCGAAAUGCGAUAAGUAAUGUGAAUUGCAGAAUUCAGUGAAUCAUCGAAUCUUUGAACGCACAUUGCGCCCGCCAGUAUUCUGGCGGGCAUGCCUGUCUGAGCGUCAUUUCAACCCUCAUGCCCCUAGGGCGUGGUGUUGGGGAUCGGCCAAAGCCCGCAAGGGACGGCCGGCCCCUAAAUCUAGUGGCGGACCCGUCGUGGCCUCCCCUGCGAAGUAGUGAUAUUCCGCAUAGGAGAAGCGACGAGCCCCUGCCGUUAAACCCCCAACUUUCUCAGGUUGACCUCAGAUCAGGUAGGAAUACCCGCUGAACUUAAGCAUAUCAAUAAGCGGAGGA